rnacentral:lncRNA from 1 species
GUACUUGCUGGACAGACUGCUGCCACACCGGCUGGGUAGGUUGCUCUGGUACAGGUAGUAGAAGAAACUCCCCUGGAUGUAUAAUGGACUCAUAGGAAACCCUAGAAAACACCUCCAUCCUGGGUCAGAGGAACUUUUUUUAGCUCAUCUGAGAGGUAAGUACCGAUCACCUGCUUUUAGCUGUCUUCAAUUCCCCUAAUACACAUGCAUUUCCCACCUCUGACUCAGACACAGCAACACAGCAUCCUUUGACUGUUAAGG